rnacentral:tRNA from 1 species
ACUUAAAUAGCUUAUUUAGAGCAUAAUAUUGAAGAUAUUAAGGUAAUAUAAUUAUUUUUAAGUA